UUUUUUAAUCGAUCUAAUAUUGGAAUGUAACGUAAAUCGUCAGUUUUAGGCGGGAACAUGGCAGGAGACGUAGAAAGAAGCUGCUUAUCGAGAAAUCGUCAAGUAAAGACCAGCGACAUUUCUAACCGGUGAUAUUUGCAACGAUUUCCUCUGGGCCACGAUUGCAAAUGUCGCAUUUAAUUAUAUGUACGUACAAUGAUAUGCAAUAUCAUUUAUAAAGAUCGAGUGUUGUGCAGUUACAUCGCAUAUGCUAAGAAGAAACAGAC